AAUACCCGCUGAACUUAAGCAUACCAGUAAGCGGAGGAAAAGAAACUAACAAGGAUUCCCUUAGUAACGGCGAGUGAAAAAU
rnacentral:rRNA from 1 species